rnacentral:rRNA from 1 species
GACAACCAGGAGGUUGGCUUAGAAGCAGCCAUCCUUUAAAGAAAGCGUAAUAGCUCACUGGUCAAGCGGCUUUGGGCCGACAAUAUAACGGGGCUUAAGCACUAGACCGAAGCCGUCGAAUAGCGGAUCUUGCGAGGUCCGCAAUUGGUAGAGGAGCGUUCCCAAUGCAGCGAAGUCAGACCGUAAGGACUGGUGGAGCGUUGGGAAGUGACCCUGCCGGCAUAAGUAGCGAGAAGGGAAGUGAGAAUCUUCCCCGCCGUAAGCCUAAGGUUUCCUGAGGUAGGUUCGUCCGCUCAGGGUUAGUCGGGAGCUAACGCGAGGCCGAAAGGCGUAGCGGAUGCACAUCCGGUUAAUAUUCCGGAACUACCUAGAUAUCGUUAUCACGAUGGGGGGACGCAGGAGGCUAUACGAGCCUGGAGAGGGCCGCAAGGCGCCAGGUUGAGGUCUGUAGGGAGAUCCACUAGGCAAAUCCGGUGGGUCAUAAUCCUGAGGGGCCGAAGCGAGUCCGCAAGGACGCAAAGUCGUAGACGCCACGCUGCCGAGAAAAGCCUCUAAGGAGAUAUCUGGGUACCCGUACCGCAAACCGACACAGGUAGGCGAGGAGAAAAUCCUCAGGCGCAAGUGAGAACACUCGUUUAGGAACUCGGCAAAAUUGCCCCGUAACUUCGGGAGAAGGGGUGCUCCGUUACCGUUAGUGUCCUCGCGACACGAAGCGGGAGGGAGUUGCAGUUAAGAGGCCCAAGCGACUGUUUACUAAAAACACAGGGCUCUGCUAAGUCGAAAACGACGUAUAGGGUCUGACGCCUGCCCGGUGCCGGAAGGUUAAAAGGAGGGGUUAGCGCAAGCGAAGCUCUGAAUUGAAGCCCCGGUAAACGGCGGCCGUAACUAUAACGGUCCUAAGGUAGCGAAANNGGAGCCAACGGUGAGAUACCACCCUUACGACUCCGGUGUUCUAACUGCAGCCCGUCAUCCGGGCUCAGGACACUGCUAGGCGGGUAGUUUGACUGGGGCGGUCGCCUCCUAAACGGUAACGGAGGCGCGCGAAGGUUCGCUCAGGCUGUUUGGAAAUCAGCCGUAGAGUGCAAAGGCAUAAGCGAGCUUGACUGCGAGACAAACAAGUCGAGCAGGUGCGAAAGCAGGCCUUAGUGAUCCGGUGGUCCCGCAUGGAAGGGCCAUCGCUCAACGGAUAAAAGGUACGCCGGGGAUAACAGGCUGAUCUGAGCCAAGAGUUCACAUCGACGCUCAGGUUUGGCACCUCGAUGUCGGCUCAUCGCAUCCUGGAGCUGUAGCAGGUUCCAAGGGUCCGGCUGUUCGCCGGUUAAAGCGGUACGUGAGCUGGGUUUAGAACGUCGCGAGACAGUUCGGUCUCUAUCUGUGAUGGGCGGAGGAAAUUUGAGUGGGGCUGACCUUAGUACGAGAGGACCGGGUUGGACGGACCUCUAGUGUACCGGUUAUCACGCCAGUGGUAGCGCCGGGUAGCUAAGUCCGGAAGGGAGAAACGCUGAAUGCAUCUAAGCGUGAAACCCUCCACAAGAUGAGAUUUCCCUGGACGUAAGUCCCUGAAGGCUCCUGGUAGACUACCAGGUUGAUAGGUCGGGUGUGGAAGCGUAGCGAUACGUGGAGCUGACCGAUACUAAUUAGCCGUGAGGCUUGACC